GCGGGAUUAGUUCAUCGGUAGAACGCGAGCUUCCCAAGCUCGAGAGACGGGUUCGAUUCCCGUAUCCCGCUC
rnacentral:tRNA from 1 species